CCCUUAGAUGUCCUGGGCCGCACGCGCGCUACACUGAUGCAUGCAACGAGUUUAUAACCUUGGCCUGAAAGGUCUGGGUAAUCUUUUGAACGUGCAUCGUGAUAGGGAUAGAUUAUUGCAAUUGUUAAUCUUGAACGAGGAAUUCCUAGUAAACGCGAGUCAUCAGCUCGCAUUGAUUACGUCCCUGCCCUUUGUACACACCGCCCGUCGCACCUACCGAUUGAAUGGUUCGGUGAAGAUCUCGGACUUCGAUAUUUAUUCUUUAUUGAGUUUAUACUGCGGGAAGUUAUCUAAACCUCAUCAUUUAGAGGAAGGUGAAGUCGUAACA
rnacentral:rRNA from 1 species